rnacentral:misc_RNA from 1 species
GGUCCCCGUCUUUGUGCGGCCGACUACCGGCGCCGUGUCCCGUCAUUCGUGUGGCUUAUGUUACUGUUGCCUUUAAGUGCUUGCGUGCUGGUACCCGACCUACGGGAAGUGGUGCAUCAUACACGGUUGCCUCGCGGUGGACGCCUUCGGGUGUGCUGCUGCGGCCAAAUGGCUCUUGCGGCGUUGCCUCGUGGUGCUGGCACGUUUUCGUGCCUGGUGCUAUCAGGGCAGCCUCGCUCCCGCUGUURGUUUCGGAUGUCGCUCAUGAUAAAAGCUCAUGGCCCAUUUUGGUUGCCUUGAACUGACCCUAAAUAUGCCUCCCUCGUUGAGGACAACAGUGUUCCUCAAUUCGUAGGUGGAUAUUGGCCCGCUCAAUUGCGACAACUGGCCCGGCGGUUGCCUCUGCCUUUCCACGCAAGUGGACAAGCGAACAACUGUCGGCGCUGGACGUCAAAGAGGACGUGCUACCUGGUUGAUCCUGCCAGUAGUCA